rnacentral:lncRNA from 1 species
GAGCUUCUCCAGCAGUGGGACUUCUACAGUAAGCGGUCUACUCUAAACUUCUACGACAACUGAUCUCCAUCCGAGCUUCUACGGUAAGCGGCCUCCUUCCAGACUCCUACAGGAACUGGACUCCGUCCGAACUUCUACAGCGGUUGGAUUUCGGAUGAACUUCUACAACGGACGUGCUCCAGCAGUCGGAUUUCUAUAGUGACUGACUAUCUCUGGUGUCUUCUGAAUCUCUCAAGCCAUCAACCUUCGACAGCGCC